rnacentral:rRNA from 1 species
UACGUAGGGCGCAAGCGUUGUCCGGAUUUAUUGGGCGUAAAGAGCUCGUAGGCGGUCUGUCGCGUCGGAUGUGAAAACCCGGAACUCAACUCCGGGCCUGCAUUCGAUACGGGCAGACUUGAGUACUGCAGGGGAGACUGGAAUUCCUGGUGUAGCGGUGGAAUGCGCAGAUAUCAGGAGGAACACCGGUGGCGAAGGCGGGUCUCUGGGCAGAAACUGACGCUGAGGAGCGAAAGCGUGGGGAGCGAACAGGAUUAGAUACCCUGGUAGUCCACGCCGUAAACGGUGGGCACUAGGUGUGGGGACCAUUCCACGGUCUCUGCGCCGCAGCUAACGCAUUAAGUGCCCCGCCUGGGGAGUACGGCCGCAAGGCUAAA